AAGUCGUAACAAGGUUUCCGUAGGUGAACCUGCGGAAGGAUCAUUAACACGUAUCCACGUAUCAACCAACCGCGAACUCGUUUUCAUUCUCCCUUUGGUGGCACAUGAAUUGGAACUCUUACAAAGUAGUGAGUGGGGCUCUCGGGCCAGCUUUGUUUUAGUCACUGAGAUGUUAAUACUUAACUGUAUUGCAUUUCGACAAUUGUAGUGUUCCGGGGCAACCCUUCUGUUACUUUCAUCUCCAUUCAUGAUCGGAGUAACGGGAAAAUUACUAACCUAUUUCACCCCCUUUUUGCUAGUUGACUUUAUUAUGUUGUUAUCAGUAAGAUUAAUUUCUUAUUGGUCUCACACGUUUAAUUACUUAAACGAUAGAACAACUCUUAGCAAUGGAUAUCUUGGUUCUC
rnacentral:misc_RNA from 1 species